CCGAUGUUGACAGAUCGCCGUCUGCUAGACUUUUAAGCAGAGAGAGAGGCGAAUGUCGCACUGCGUUCUUGACGAGAUUCUCAUGAUGGUUCCUGCAUGAAGUAUAACAAUAUUAAAUGGCUAAAGAAUAUUAUAUAGUCGGGGAAAGAAAUACAAAAUAAGUAAAGACUGUUUAUGAAAGUGUUGAAAUAGCACAAAACGCCACAGCUGGAUAAGGCGUUCCAAAUAGAGAAAGGGAGAAAAAUGGAGAUUAACGUUAUACACUCGACACAAACUAGGUUAUUUCGGGACUAACAUAUGGUUCAAUUUUAUUUCUAUAAUUCGUUUGUGCAUAUGGAUCUUUAGCUGUAGGAGGAAACCGGGGAAAAUGGAGAAAACCCACGAGUUUGCACAGGUGACCCUACUCCUUGUCACGUACACAAGCGGGGAAUCUAAACUACGCACCUUGACACAUCAACAGACCUUAUGAUUUUACACGCACGCGUUAAACCACUCAGGCCACCCCAUCCCACCCCUGGGUUCCAAAUAAGUGAGAAUAUUAUAUUUUUUAUUUAAGAAGAAAAGCAAUCCCUCAAUGAUCCAUAGUUUGCAACCAUGUUGCCAACUGGCGUACUUGGUACAGCCAAUCCUACCCCCCCCCCCCUUUAAGAUGCUAGAAACGUUGCUAAUGGAUUGAAAUUCUCACAGAUUGUACCAUUCCAAAGCAAACGCCGAAUUCACGGGAUACCCGUUGAUACAUAAAUGGACUUUACUAUCUACCCGUCGCUUUGUAUUUUUCGAAAAAUUAGAAAAGAAUGUUUCACAUAGAAUGAACUAGUUUUAUUGAAUGAAAUAUAUUUUGAAAUGAGUAUAGGCAUGUUUAAGAGUCAACAAAAUGCACAUGUGCAACAUUUAAGACUGGUAAUUGCUCUCAAUCUUUGCAAAGCUGGAACUGGAAUUCAUGAUAUUAGUCAUGAACGAGGGGUAGGGGGUGCAAAUUUUCAUCCCGGGUCUGGCCUAUAAUACCCGUUAAUUUAUAAUCAUGCCCCCCAUUUCUGCAUUAAUAUUAAAGAUAGAAAUUAUGCUUGUUAGAACAUUUAUAUCUUAUUGUAUACAGUUAUUAAAUAUAUUUCAUUUUA